UACGGGGGGGGCAAGCGUUGUUCGGAAUUACUGGGCGUAAAGGGCUCGUAGGUGGCCAACUAAGUCGGACGUGAAAUCCCUCGGCUUAACCGGGGAACUGCAUCCGAUACUGGAUGGCUUGAGUUCGGGAGAGGGAUGCGGAAUUCCAGGUGUAGCGGUGAAAUGCGUAGAUAUCUGGAGGAACUCCGGUGGCGAAGGCGGCAUCCUGGACCGACACUGACGCUGAGGAGCGAAAGCCAGGGGAGCAAACGGG
rnacentral:rRNA from 1 species